AGCAGCAGCUUCAUUGCCGCCUUGGCAAUCGCGCACGCCUCAGUACACUUUCGACUUUGGCAUAUCGUUGUCGCCGGCCACGCAUUUGCCGCUUUCUGCAACAACGCACAGCACAAGCGGCGUUCGGCGCUCGACGUCACUGUGACAUCACUGAUUUUGGCAGCAGCAGGUACAAACAAAAAAAGCGAAACACAGCGCGCUGCCACAACGCGCGCUCAUUAUUUUGCCGCCGCUUGGCGCACAACAUUGCGCUGCCACUUGUUUCUUGCAACACGCUGCGUCGUGCUCCAUUUUUUCCUCUUGCACAAUUCGAUCCGCAACAUUUAUUUCAACUAACUCUGCGUCGCCUUUUUCACAAAUUUAAAUGUUGUGCUUUUUUUGCGACUUUCGGGCGCUUAAUCUCCGCGUGCGCAUAACCAACGCCGCGUCCAAUCGGCUGUGGCUCGGCUAUCAUUCGGUAGUUCGUGCUGCCGCCGCCACAGUCGGCCGGUAAAGCACAUAUGUUGAGUUUCAAGCGCGCUUUCGAUUGCUAUUACUGCUGCGCUUGUUGUUGCUGUUGGUGAUGGCGUUGGCGUUGGUGGUGCUUGCGCUGACGCUAUCAUGGCUGUUACUGCCGCCCCCUUGCAUGCUGUUAACAAGUUCGCUUGCACACACACACACACACACACGCGACUUGCAGCGGGCAGGCGCGCCUCAGCGGCAGCAUCUCUGUGACGGCGGCGCUGACUAGCCGGCCGGUCGGUCGGCCGUUUGGCGUUGCUUGGCAGUCAGCCAGGCUCCGUGGCUUAUCCUGCAUCCUGGCCUCGUGCAGUUGUCCAACAGCAGCCGGUGUUGGCAGUAGUACAUCAGCUUGUCGUCGUCGCUGACACAUUGAUAAAUAAAUCUUAAUCAACUUCAAAAUUACUAUUCAGUCAGCGCCAGAGCAAGUAACAACAGCAGCAACAAGCUUGGCGCAGCAUCAUAUUAAUUCCACAUAAAAGCAAAAUGUCGUCGCAAUGCUAACUAACUGGUGCGCCUUAGCGUCGUAGCCAGAUAUGUUAUAAUCCGAGUGUCAGUUGUUUAAUUUACCGCGUACGCUCGACCGUCCAACGCUUCGCUUGCUCGUACAACAACACUAACUUUGCACUAACUUUUGCUUAACUGCAAAUGAUUUAUGGCCAAGAGACAAUGAAACCGAAUCUCCGUAUACAAAAGUGCCGCUAACACUGGUCUCACAUGCACCUAUGAUUGCAUAUGAACGUCGCAUAUAACGGUUCUUGUUGUCAUUUGUCGUUUGGUGCGUUCGAGUUUUCAUUUGGUUUGGUUUUCGGCUGCUUUUCCGUUUGUUGUGUGUUGCCGGCUUGUUGGUUGUCGCCUGUCAGUGUUUUCGACUGCCGGACGGACAGACGCUCACAUGCGCUCGCCUAUACAUAUGUAUGUAUGUAGGUUCGCGUGUAUGUGGCAACGUGCAACAUGCUGUAAUUUCCGUGUUUAGAACUGUGUCGGUGUUGCCGCUAUUGUUGUUGUUAUAAUUAUUGCCGCCGUUGUGCAAAAACUCGACUCAAGUGUGGCAAACGGAUCGGUGAAUGUUGGUAAAUUCCUGUAAAUCAAAAUGUGGCACAUGCGAGUGAGCGCGUAUGUAGAAAUAGACUUACCGGUGGGCUGUGGCAAUUGGGCGUACAAUCAUGGAGAACCAUUCGGGAAUGGCGAGAAAACAGAUGCUUCCAACCGCCAAACUGAAUCCAAAAACUGCAUGAUCUUCUAAAGAAACAGACUUCAAAAACGAAACGCUCAUUUGUCCGCCGUGCAGUAGGUGAUAAAGUUAUAGGAGAAAUUGCCUCCCAGGAAAACCAAGACUUAAAUCGAAAGGGGCCAACAUAAAAAAUGGAGCAUAAUUGGAUCUGGACCCACAAUCCAUAAAUCAACGUCUAGCAACUUAAGAGCGUUUAUUAUCGAUCCAGAAGUUUCUUUGGAUCAUCAGAGAAAAUACACGACCAAAAUGCUUCGGUUGAAAGCGCCUGAGGGGAACAUGGAAGAGCACAGGUUCAAUGGGUUGCCAUGCAUGAGAAGAACGCAGCCAACCAACGGCCUGGUCGAGCAGUGUGGCAAGUAGCUACAUGUGGCUGCAACAUACGGUGGCGGCACCGACGGCGGAGACGGCGCCUGGAAGACACGGAAACAUGCCACUAAAACACCGCUGAUGAUAUAUGAUGUUGAAGUUCUGUCCAUUAAAUGUUGUUCCAAAACGGCUUUGGCAUGACUAACUGCUGAUGACGAGUGAGAUGCGAGCAUUGACGAGCGUGAAUGCUGACGACAACAAGCGAAAUUGUCGGAUGCAAAGCAACA